rnacentral:rRNA from 1 species
GACGAACGCUGGCGGCGUGCUUAACACAUGCAAGUCGAACGGAAAGGCCCUGCUUUUGUGGGGUGCUCGAGUGGCGAACGGGUGAGUAACACGUGAGUAACCUGCCCUUGACUUUGGGAUAACUUCAGGAAACUGGGGCUAAUACCGGAUAGGAGCUCCUGCUGCAUGGUGGGGGUUGGAAAGUUUCGGCGGUUGGGGAUGGACUCGCGGCUUAUCAGCUUGUUGGUGGGGUAGUGGCUUACCAAGGCUUUGACGGGUAGCCGGCCUGAGAGGGUGACCGGCCACAUUGGGACUGAGAUACGGCCCAGACUCCUACGGGAGGCAGCAGUGGGGAAUAUUGCACAAUGGGCGGAAGCCUGAUGCAGCAACGCCGCGUGCGGGAUGACGGCCUUCGGGUUGUAAACCGCUUUCGCCUGUGACGAAGCGUGAGUGACGGUAAUGGGUAAAGAAGCACCGGCUAACUACAU